AUUGAACGCUGGCGGCAGGCUUAACACAUGCAAGUCGAGCGGAGAUGAGGUGGCUUGCUACUGAUCUUAGCGGCGGACGGGUGAGUAAUGCUUAGGAAUCUGCCUAUUAGUGGGGGACAACAUUUCGAAAGGAAUGCUAAUACCGCAUACGUCCUACGGGAGAAAGCAGGGGAUCUUCGGACCUUGCGCUAAUAGAUGAGCCUAAGUCGGAUUAGCUAGUUGGUGGGGUAAAGGCCUACCAAGGCGACGAUCUGUAGCGGGUCUGAGAGGAUGAUCCGCCUCACUGGGACUGAGACACGGCCCAGACUCCUACGGGAGGCAGCAGUGGGGAAUAUUGGACAAUGGGCGGAAGCCUGAUCCAGCCAUGCCGCGUGUGUGAAGAAGGCCUUAUGGUUGUAAAGCACUUUAAGCGAGGAGGAGGCUACUUUAGUUAAUACCUAGAGAUAGUGGACGUUACUCGCAGAAUAAGCACCGGCUAACUCUGUGCCAGCCGCCGCGGUAAGAC
rnacentral:rRNA from 1 species